GGUCGCCGCGUGCCGGCCGGG
rnacentral:siRNA from 1 species